GCACCGGCUACUCCGUGCCAGCAGCCGCGGUAAUACGGAGGGUGCGAGCGUUAAUCGGAAUUACUGGGCGUAAAGAGUGCGUAGGUGGUUGAAUAAGUUAUCUGUGAAAUCCCUGGGCUUAACCUGGGAGGGUCAGAUAAUACUGCUCAACUCGAGUAUGGGAGAGGGUAGUGGAAUUUCCGGUGUAGCGGUGAAAUGCGUAGAGAUCGGAAGGAACACCAGUGGCGAAGGCGGCUACCUGGCUCGAUACUGACACUGAGGCACGAAAGCGUGGGGAGCAAACAGGAUUAGAUACCCUGGUAGUCCACGCUGUAAACGAUGUCA
rnacentral:rRNA from 1 species